rnacentral:snoRNA from 1 species
UGCAGCCUCGUCAAAUUCAGUAACGCCUGCUCAAUGGCGACUACUGGCCCAAAGGGCUGCCACAGAAACCGCGCAGCUCAUGGGCCCCUCUUUCAGCAGUGGAAGCCGGGGAUAAGAUUGUGCUGCAGACAAGU